UGCCCGGUGAAUAACUCUUUUUAACGGCCGCAGUACCCUGACUGUGCUAAGGUAGCAUAAUAAAUUGACUUUUAAUUGAAGUCCAGAAUAAACGGGGUAACGGGAGAAAUCUGUCUCACAAUAAAAAUUUUUAAAUUAUUAAAAAGGUGAAAAUACCUUUAAUCAAGAAAAUAGACGAGAAGACCCUAAGAAUUUUAAGAAAAUUUUAAAUCUCAAACCUUUUUACUGGGGCGGUAAAGAAUCAACAUUAACAUUCUAUAAAUAAAAUAAACCAAAUACUAUUCAUCAAAAAUAAAUUACCUUAGGGAUAACAGCAUUAUUUUUAUUUUAGCUUGUGACCUCGAUGUUGGACUAGGAAAUUUUAAGAUUAGCCAUCAUAAAAAUG
rnacentral:rRNA from 1 species